rnacentral:sRNA from 1 species
GGGUAUGAACCUGGGGUCCCCAGGGAAGAACCGUGAAGCCGGAGCUGUACUCCACGUGUGUCGGGCACAGGGAGCCCUGUGGGGACACAGGGUCUCCCUUAGACCAAGGCCACCCGGCCACCCAGGCAUGGGCACUGAAGGGGCAGGGCAGGGUCUGACCGUGGCCAAGCCCCGCAGCAGCCUCCUGGAGCAGUGGCCGCUCUUCAGGGGUUCUGGUCCCGCCCUGAGGCAGAGCUGCCCCCUUCCCUGUUAUGUGCAGAUGGCUUCCGGAAAGUGGUCCACAUCGAGCAGGGCGGCCUGGUCAAGCCAGAGAGAGACGACACGGAGUUCCAGCACCCAUGCUUCCUGCGUGGCCAGGAGCAGCUCCUUGAGAACAUCAAGAGGAAAGUGACCAGUGUGUCCACCCUGAAGAGUGAAGACAUAAAGAUCCGCCAGGACAGCGUCACCAAGCUGCUGACGGACGUGCAGCUGAUGAAGGGGAAGCAGGAGUGCAUGGACUCCAAGCUCCUGGCCAUGAAGCAUGAGAAUGAGGCUCUGUGGCGGGAGGUGGCCAGCCUUCGGCAGAAGCAUGCCCAGCAACAGAAAGUCGUCAACAAGGUGGGGGCAGGGCCAGAGGGCCGGCGGGGGCCCCACAAGGGCCGGGGUAACUGUGUCCUCUCUCUCCACAGCUCAUUCAGUUCCUGAUCUCACUGGUGCAGUCAAACCGGAUCCUGGGGGUGAAGAGAAAGAU